ACAUGCCAUGCGUGGCAAAGCUCUGCACGCUUUCUUUACUGCGGCUGAGAACCGAUGACGAAUCGCACUUUUAACCGAGUCUGCUGUGAGCUCCAUCUGCAGACGGAGAGGUUUUGCUCUGAGCGAGCGCACUUUGCGGCCCUGAUUAUGCUGACCAGCUCAUAAAUACAGCUACAGCUGUGAAUGUGAUGAUGGGAGGGAAUGACCCCGGAGGACCCUGCCCCGACCCAUCCCCGUCCAGAUCUCCGCUGCGGCUGCCAUCCCAUAAUGCAAACAAACAGGAACGUGACCCUUUCCUUUCCCAAACUUGGAAUCCAGCCCCCGCCGCUCCGGUUCCUCCCCCCACUCCGAGGGGAAUCCUCCGCCCAUUCGGGGGCAUUCCACAUCCUGUCUGGAUGACUGUUGAGAAUGUGAAUAGAAAAGACAGCUUGUGGAAGAAUUAAAAAAAAACGUAGAUGUUAUUUAAUUGUCGUUUCUUUACUAUAGGGCCCAGAUUCAUGAGCGAUUUGGUCAGCAGCUUGGCCCAACCAGAGAGCCGUGGUAUUUCAUAACAAUGUGCAAAGACUGGAAAGCUGCCUAAUAGCACCGGCAGAAAAAAAAAUAAAAAUAUUAAUAAUCCUC